AUUGAACGCUGGCGGCAUGCUUUACACAUGCAAGUCGAACGGCAGCACGGGUGCUUGCACCUGGUGGCGAGUGGCGGACGGGUGAGUAAUGCAUCGGAACGUGUCCUGAAGUGGGGGAUAACGCAUCGAAAGAAUGUGCUAAUACCGCAUAUUCUCUGAGGAGGAAAGUAGGGGAGUCGAAAGACCUUAUGCUUUUGGUAGCGGCCGAUGUCUGAUUAGCUAGUUGGUAGGGUAAUGGCUUACCAAGGCGACGAUCAGUAGUUGGUCUGAGAGGACGGCCAGCCACACUGGGACUGAGACACGGCCCAGACUCCUACGGGAGGCAGCAGUAGGGAAUAUUGGGGCAAUGGACGGAAGUCUGACCCAGCCACGCCGCGUGCAGGAGGAAGGCGCUCUGCGUUGUAAACUGCUUUAGCAGGGGAAGAAAAGACUCAUGCGUGAGGAAUUGACGGUACCCUGAGAAUAAGCACCGGCUAACUACGUGCCAG
rnacentral:rRNA from 1 species